GCUGUUCCACUGGAUGUCAUAAGGUGAAUGCACCAAUUUGUAAGUCGCUCUGGAUAAGAGCGUCUGCUAAAUGACUUAAAUGUAAUGUAAAUGUUAACUGUAUUUAGUAAUAAUAUGAUAUUAUAAUGUUGUAUUAGGAGUUGUGUUGACUGUGACUCUUCCCUCCGAGGCCAGAACAGACAGUAAAAUGUGUCCAGUUCUCACUAGGUUAUGUUUAUAGAGGAAUAUGUCAAAUUCUACCUAGCAGAGCUGGCUCUGGCCCUCGACCACCUGCACCAUCUUGGCAUAGUUUACAGAGACCCCAAACCAGAGACGUAUUUUGCGGGACGUAGCAAGGGGACAAGAUGAGAGGGAAAGUUCCGCUAACAAGGGCAACUACUAGGAGCUUUCAGAGGUAAUUUCACAUUAUUAUGCUUUACUUGCUGAGCACAUCGACGUUUCUGCUGUCUUCUCUGGGAUGUCGAAAGAAAUUCUGAAUGAUUUGAUAGCUUCCAUCGCAUCAUCCAUUAAAAGUGAGAUUUAAAGAGAUGGCAAAUGGAUGAAACCACAGACAUCAGCUGUCACCUGCAGUUGUUGGCAGGUAUGCGGAUGAUCCAGGCUUUAUUUAUGAACUUUUCUUGGGCUACUUUGAUGUGUCAAGUGGGCGAGAUGCGCAGUCUGUGUUUGACUUUGUCGAAGUUGAACUUAAUGGAGAAACUUGCUGCCCAAACCUAUGAUAGCACUGUUGUAAUGGAACGUACAGUAUCUGCUAUUUGUAUUUACAGUGAAAUGCCCUCCUGUUUCCUGAUUUAAGAGGGGAUGACUACUCCACUACCAAUGUCAACUCUUUACUGAACUGAAGCCAUGUCUUAUUCACUGGCUCACUGAAUAUUUCCUCUCCAAGCACUUCAAAUCCUGUCCUCAUUGGAAGAGUUGAGCUCUUCUCCAACACCAUCCAACCACGAUGAGCUUGUCCUGCACUGACUCCUCUGAACAUCUCAACCCAGGUCCUGCACUGAAGUCAAGCCUCUGAACACCUUAACUCAUGCUUCAUACCCUCAUUCAAAUCACUGCUGUGAUCCCUUCCCAACAUGGCGUCCACAGAUGACGCAAACUCAAUUGCGCUUCACACUGCUACAACAGGAGUUCCCUGAUCCUGGUGUCCCGUAUACAACAGGAGUUCCCUGACCCUGGUGUCCUGUAUACAACAGGAGUUUCCUGACCCUGGUGUCCUGUAUACAACAGGAGUUCCCUGACACUGGUGUCCUGUAUACAACAGGAGUUCCCUGACCCUGGUGUCCUGGAUACAACAGGAGUUCCCUGACCCUGGUGUCCUGUAUACAACAGGAGUUCCCUGAUCCUGGUGUCCUGUAUACAACAGGAGUUCCCUGACCCUGGUGUCCUGUAUACAACAGGAGUUCCCUGACCCUGGUGUCCUGGAUACAACAGGAGUUCCCUGACCCUGGUGUCCUGUAUACAACAGGAGUUCCCUGAUCCUGGUGUCCUGUAUACAACAGGAGUUCCCUGACCCUGGUGUCCUGUAUACAACAGGAGUUCCCUGAUCCUGGUGUCCUGUAUACAACAGGAGUUCCCUGACCCUGGUGCAGAAUACACAGGGUUUCUCUCUCUCCAUUUUGACUAAUAGCAUUCAAUUCAAUAAUUUAAAAAAA